UUUGAUUACAAACCUAAAGUCAGCCUUCUGAUCAGAACCCUGAACUAAAACAUAGAGAAGAAAAAGAUAAGAAAACAGAGCAGUACAAAAAACCCCAUAGCCUCUAACAACUCAACAAAUCUCUUCACUGGAGAAUGAGCUUCUCUUCUUUAACCAGUGCGUGCAGUGUCUUAGGAAGCUCGUUCGUUCAGCUAGGGUUUCAUUCUAAUUCUUUAAAUGGGAUUCUAUUUUCUUCUUCUAAGAAGACAAAAUUUGCUGUGAAGAAACUAACUGUGUCAUGCUCUUCUUCUGAUCCGCUGUUGGUUAAGGCUGCAAAAGGACAUCUUGUAAGUCGACCUCCAGCAUGGAUGAUGCGCCAAGCAGGAAGGUAUAUGGCUGUUUAUAGAAAGCUUGCAGAACAACACCCAUCCUUCAGAGAGAGGUCAGAGACGACUGAUCUCAUUGUGCAAAUUUCUUUGCAGCCUUGGGAAGCUUUCCGUCCAGAUGGGGUUAUCAUAUUCUCUGACAUUCUUACUCCUCUACCUGCAUUUGGUGUCCCAUUUGACAUAGAUGAAAUGAAAGGACCUGUUAUUCAAUCACCAAUUUGUUUGGAGGAGGACUUAAAGGCAUUACAUCCCCUUGACUUGGAGAAACUUCAAUUUGUGGGGGAAUCCUUGAAGAUUUUGCGCAAGGAGGUCGGUGAUUAUGCUGCAGUUUUGGGUUUUGUCGGAGCACCUUGGACAAUUGCUACAUAUAUCAUUGAAGGGGGCACAACUCGCACAUAUACCACCAUAAAGAGUAUGUGCCAUACAGCACCACAUAUAUUAAGGGCUCUUCUCUCUCAUUUAACAAAAGCAAUAUCUGAAUACAUUAUCUUUCAAGUGGAGUCUGGGGCUCACUGCAUACAAAUAUUUGAUUCAUGGGGUGGACAACUACCUCCACAUAUGUGGGAACUCUGGUCUGAGCCUUAUAUUAAAGAGAUUGUCAAUUUAGUGAGGACUAAAUGCCCUGACACACCACUUGUGCUGUACAUUAAUGGAAAUGGUGGCCUCCUUGAGCAGAUGAAAGGAACUGGUGUUGAUGUGAUUGGGCUUGACUGGACAGUUGACAUGGCAGACGGGAGGAAACAAUUGGGUAAUGACAUCAGUGUUCAGGGAAAUGUUGACCCUGCUUUCUUAUUCGCUCCUUUACCUGCAUUGACAGAUGAAAUUCAAAGGGUUGUCAAGUGUGCAGGACCAAAGGGGCACAUCCUUAAUCUAGGGCAUGGAGUUCUGGUUGGGACACCUGAAGAAGCUGUUGCACAUUUCUUUGAGGUUGUGAAAAGCUUGAAGUAUGAUUCUUCGUCUCAAAGUCGUAUGCUGGAGGAAUCUAAAUCGGUAGUCUGACAAUAUACCUAUCUUCAAGCAUAAGCCAGCAGUUUUGUUUACAUGAUGGCUGUUCAUUAUGAAGUUACACCCUGUUCCUUCCUGAUGACCACUUGAUACUGUUUAACUUGCCCUUUCCUGAGAGUGUAUGAAGGGCUUUUUAAUGUUUAUCAACAAAUUAUUUGAGUAAUUUUCCGGUUGAACUGUUUCUCUACAUGGGCUAGUAAUCAAGCCUUUUUAGCCACCUUGAUUUGCGAUUGGUUCAUUAGUCUGGCUAAUUGAAAUGUAGCAUUCCUUCGAUUGAUUGAAGAAAUCAGCGUAACAAUAUUUACGAGAAAUGUUAUCAACAUAUUGUUGACAAUGGGUGAAACACUUUCCUUGAUGGUAACUGUUUCUUAAAUAUAUUUGUUUAUUUAUUUUUUAUUAGUUGUUUUGUGCUUAAAAAAAAAAAGCAUCUGAGUAAAACAGGUCUUGUUGUUUCCAUGCAUACUCCCAUGGUCAAGGACAGAUCAGAAUGGUUGUGUGUGCACACAAACUUAUGCAAUUCAUACUCAGUAUAACAGAGAGUUAUGUGAAUGUGGUGAUGGAGGAACCACCCUUUUAAUGUAGACUACUGGACUUCAUGUUCUCCUCUUGCUGGUUAGACGGGAUGAACACUCCAUAUUUGCUAAAUCGAUCUACAACGGCCAGCCAUAAUGUUGUUGUAUCCCUCAGACUUUGGCAAUGGUGGGUGUAGGAUAUGAUAUGAUUGGUCUCAUUGAAAUUUAUGGGGUGCUGGUGUAAUUUUUAUCACAAUAUAUGUGGGAGAGAUAGCAAACAAUAUAGCAAUAUACUCAUAUAGAAAAUUAAAAUACAUUUUCAGUUCA